rnacentral:tRNA from 4 species
UCCUCCUUAGCUCAGUUGGUUAGAGCAUCUGACUGUUAAUCAGAGGGUCCUUGGUUCGAGCCCAAGAGGAGGAGCGA